AUUGAACGCUGGCGGCAUGCCUUACACAUGCAAGUCGAACGGUAACAGGUCUUCGGAUGCUGACGAGUGGCGAACGGGUGAGUAAUACAUCGGAACGUGCCCAGUAAUGGGGGAUAGCCCGGCGAAAGCCGGAUUAAUACCGCAUACGCCCUGAGGGGGAAAGUGGGGGACCGCAAGGCCUCACGUUAUUGGAGCGGCCGAUGGCUGUUUAGCUAGUUGGUGAGGUAAAGGCUCACCAAGGCGAUGAUCAGCAGCUGGUCUGAGAGGACGAUCAGCCACACUGGGACUGAGACACGGCCCAGACUCCUACGGGAGGCAGCAGUGGGGAAUUUUGGACAAUGGGGGCAACCCUGAUCCAGCAAUGCCGCGUGUGCGAAGAAGGCCUUCGGGUUGUAAAGCACUUUUGUCAGGGAAGAAAUCCUUUAGGCUAAUACCCUAGGGGGAUGACGGUACCUGAAGAAUAAGCACCGGCUAACUACGUGCCAGCCGCCGCAGUAA
rnacentral:rRNA from 1 species